rnacentral:rRNA from 1 species
GACGAACGCUGGCGGCGUGCUUAACACAUGCAAGUCGAACGGAAAGGCCUGCUUUCCCUUGUGGAUUGCGGGUACUCGAGUGGCGAACGGGUGAGUAACACGUGAGUGAUCUGCCCCCAACUUGGGUAUAAGCCUGGGAAACUGGGUCUAAUUCCCGAUAGGACUGCAGGGUGGUGCCUGUGGUGGAAAACGAUUUUCUAGUGGUUGGGGAUGAGCUCGCGGCCUAUCAGCUUGUUGGUGGGGUAAUGGCCUACCAAGGCGGCGACGGGUAGCCGGCCUGAGAGGGUGGACGGCCACAUUGGGACUGAGAGACGGCCCAGACUCCUAAGGGAGGCAGCAGUGGGGAAUAUUGCACAAUGGGCGGAAGCCUGAUGCAGCGACGCCGCGUGGGGGAUGACGGCCUUCGGGUUGUAAACUCCUUUCGACCGCGAGGAAGCCACCUGGUUGGAAGGGUGGUGACGGUAGUGGUAGAAGAAGCACCGGCUAACUACGUG